AUGACCUUGGGGCUCAGUUGGCUUUUCCUUGUCAUUGUUUUAAAAGGUGUCCAGUGUGAGGUUCAGCUUGUGGAGUCAGAAGGAGGCUUGGUGCAACCUGGAAAGUCCCUGAAACUCUCCUGUGUGGCCUCUGGAUUCACCUUCAGUAACCACUGGAUGAGCUGGGUCCGCCAGGCUCCAGGGAAGACCCUGGAGUGGGUCGCAUCUAUUUAUGAUAGUAAUAGCAUCUACUACACCGAUGCUGUGAAGGGACGAUUCACCAUCUCCAGAGACAAUGCCAGGAACACUGGAAAUGGGCAGUUUGAAGUCUGA